rnacentral:tRNA from 1 species
CAUUAAGAAGCUAUGAAACAGCGCUAGCCUUUUAAGCUAGAGAAAGGGGAAUAAAUAUCCUCCUUAAUGG